ACUUAAUUAGUUUAAGAAAAAAUUAUAAAUUGUGGAUUUAUAGAUGAAGAAAUCAUUAAGUA
rnacentral:tRNA from 1 species